GUCCAGGGAUGGGAAUCGAACCCAUAGUCAGAUGUCAUGUCCACUAGGCUACCCUGGA
rnacentral:tRNA from 1 species